UAAGUUUGAUGGCGACCGGCGCACGGGUGAGUAACACGUAUCCAACCUGCCGAUGACUCGGGGAUAGCCUUUCGAAAGAAAGAUUAAUACCCGAUGGCAUAGUUCUUCCGCAUGGUAGAACUAUUAAAGAAUUUCGGUCAUCGAUGGGGAUGCGUUCCAUUAGGUUGUUGGCGGGGUAACGGCCCACCAAGCCUUCGAUGGAUAGGGGUUCUGAGAGGAAGGUCCCCCCACAUUGGAACUGAGACACGGUCCAAACUCUACGGGAGGCAGCAUG
rnacentral:rRNA from 1 species